rnacentral:rRNA from 1 species
UGGGGAAUAUUGCACAAUGGGCGCAAGCCUGAUGCAGCCAUGCCGCGUGUAUGAAGAAGGCCUUCGGGUUGUAAAGUACUUUCAGCGGGGAGGAAGGGAGUAAAGUUAAUACUUUUGCUCAUUGACGUUACCCGCAGAAGAAGCACCGGCUAACUCCGUGCCAGCAGCCGCGGUAAUACGGAGGGUGCAAGCGUUAAUCGGAAUUACUGGGCGUAAAGCGCACGCAGGCGGUUUGUUAAGUCAGAUGUGAAAUCCUCGGGCUCAACCUGGGAACUGCAUCUGAUACUGGCAAGCUUGAGUCUCGUAGAGGGGGGUAGAAUUCCAGGUGUAGCGGUGAAAUGCGUAGAGAUCUGGAGGAAUACCGGUGGCGAAGGCGGCCCCCUGGACGAAGACUGACGCUCAGGUGCGAAAGCGUGGGGAGCAAACAGG